rnacentral:lncRNA from 1 species
CACCUGGAUUCCAUUGGCUUUUUAUCAUUUUUUAACCAUAAUUAGUGCUGGCGUGGGUGAUGCAUGUGCGUGGCUCUGUCUUCUUCAAAGAGCCAUCAAAGGAAUAAAUAAAUUCCACAAGCCCUUGAAGACCACGCCUUAGAGGUAGAAAGUGGCUUUCGUCUACUCCAGGAAUCCAAAAAUCGCCUCACAUACCAGAAAGGCCAGCGCGGAGAGUUCAACAAAAACGUUAUUUUG